AUCGCUUCUCGGCCUUUUGGCUAAGAUCAAGUGUAGUAUCUGUUCUUAUCAGUUACGUAAGUCACUGCAGUUACGUAAGUCACUCAUUUGUUUCUUCUGUGCUCAUUCAUUUUACGGACACCGGUUUGAGCUGAGGUUUUCGGUACUUGCCAUGAAAACUCUUCACUGUCAGCCUCACUCUUU